GAUAUCAACUUUCGAUGGUAGGAUAGAGGCCUACCAUGGUGGUAACGGGUAACGGGGUGUUAGGGCACGACACCGGAGAGGGAGCCUGAGAAACGGCUACCACAUCCAAGGAUGGCAGCAGGCGCGCAAAUUACCCAAUCCCGACACGGGGAGGUAGUGACAAUAAAUAACAAUACGGGGUUCUCUCGGAUUUCGUAAUUGGAAUGAGUACAAUUUAAAUCUCUUAACGAGGAACAAUUGGAGGGCAAGUCUGGUGCCAGCAGCCGCGGUAAUUCCAGCUCCAAUAGCGUAUAUUAAAGUUGCUGCAGUUAAAAAGCUCGUAGUUGAAUUUCGGGACUAAUAUGUCGGUCGUGCCUAGGUACGUACUGGCUUAUUGGUUUCUCCUUUCUGGAGAACCAUGAUGUCAUUUAUUUGGUGUCGUGGGGAAUCAGGACUGUUACUUUGAAAAAAUUAGAGUGUUUAAAGCAGGCUCACGCUUGAAUACAUUAGCAUGGAAUAAUGAAAUAGGACGUUUGAUUCUAUUUUGUUGGUUUCUAGGAUCGACGUAAUGAUUAAUAGGGAUAGUUGGGGGCAUUAGUAUUCAAUUGUCAGAGGUGAAAUUCUUGGAUUUAUUGAAGACUAACUACUGCGAAAGCAUUUGCCAAGGAUGUUUUCAUUAAUCAAGAACGAAAGUUAGGGGAUCGAAGACGAUCAGAUACCGUCGUAGUCUUAACCAUAAACUAUGCCGACUAGGGAUCGGAUGAUGUUAAUUUUUUAAUGACUCAUUCGGCGCCUUACGGGAAACCAAAGUGUUUGGGUU
rnacentral:rRNA from 1 species